rnacentral:rRNA from 1 species
AUUGAACGCUGGCGGCAGGCCUAACACAUGCAAGUCGAACGAGUGGCGGACGGGUGAGUAAUGUCUGGGAAACUGCCUGAUGGAGGGGGAUAACUACUGGAAACGGUAGCUAAUACCGCAUACAAUCGGAUGUGCCCAGAUGGGAUUAGCUAGUAGGGGGGGUAAAGGCUCACCUGGGCAAGGAUCCCUAGCUGGUCUGAGAGGAUGACGGCCCACACUGGAACGGAGACACGGUCAAGAUUCCUACGGGAGGCAGCAGUGGGGAAUAUUGGCAAAUGGGCGAAAGCCUGAUGCAGCCAGGCCGCGUGUAUGAAGAAGGCCUUCGGGUGGUAAAGUACUUUCAGCGGGGAGGCGUUACCCGCAGAAGAAGCACCGGCUAACUCCGUGCCAGCCGCCGCGGUAAUUC